ACUACUACGAUCAGAUACUCAACAACAACUGCCAGCAGUGAGGAGGACCCAAAAGCUAGGAGACAGAGUAACAGCUCUUCAAAAGCUGGUUUCUCCCUUUGGCAAGACGGACACCGCUUCAGUGCUUCAAGAGGCCUCUGUUUACAUCAAGCUCUUGCAUGAACAG